UGCAUCCACUUCCCUGUUUCCCCUC
rnacentral:piRNA from 1 species